rnacentral:rRNA from 1 species
UACGUAGGGCGCAAGCGUUGUCCGGAAUUAUUGGGCGUAAAGAGCUCGUAGGUGGCUUGUCACGUCGGGUGUGAAAGCUUGGGGCUUAACUCCAGGUCUGCAUUCGAUACGGGCUGGCUAGAGGUAGGUAGGGGAGAACGGAAUUCCUGGUGUAGCGGUGAAAUGCGCAGAUAUCAGGAGGAACACCGGUGGCGAAGGCGGUUCUCUGGGCCUUACCUGACGCUGAGGAGCGAAAGCGUGGGGAGCGAACAGGAUUAGAUACCCUGGUAGUCCACGCUGUAAACGUUGGGCGCUAGGUGUGGGGACCUUCCACGGUUUCCGCGCCGUAGCUAACGCAUUAAGCGCCCCGCCUGGGGAGUACGGCCGCAAGGCUAAA